rnacentral:rRNA from 1 species
CCUACGGGUGGCUGCAGUGGGGAAUAUUGGACAAUGGGCGAAAGCCUGAUCCAGCCAUGCCGCGUGUGUGAAGAAGGCCUUCGGGUUGUAAAGCACUUUCAGUGGGGAAGAAAGCCUUGGGGCUAAUACCCUCGAGGAAGGACAUCACCCACAGAAGAAGCACCGGCUAACUCCGUGCCAGCAGCCGCGGUAAUACGGAGGGUGCGAGCGUUAAUCCGAAUUACUGGGCGUAAAGCGCGCGUAGGCGGUCUGAUAAGCCGGUUGUGAAAGCCCCGGGCUCAACCUGGGAACGGCAUCCGGAACUGUCAGGCUAGAGUGCAGGAGAGGAAGGUAGAAUUCCCGGUGUAGCGGUGAAAUGCGUAGAGAUCGGGAGGAAUACCAGUGGCGAAGGCGGCCUUCUGGACUGACACUGACGCUGAGGUGCGAAAGCGUGGGUAGCAAACAGGAUUAGAUACCCCAGUAGUC